CGAACGCUGGCGGCGUGCCUAAUACAUGCAAGUAGAACGCUGAAGGAGGAGCUUGCUUCUCUGGAUGAGUUGCGAACGGGUGAGUAACGCGUAGGUAACCUGCCUGGUAGCGGGGGAUAACUAUUGGAAACGAUAGCUAAUACCGCAUAAGAGUAGAUGUUGCAUGACAUUUGCUUAAAAGGUGCAAUUGCAUCACUACCAGAUGGACCUGCGUUGUAUUAGCUAGUUGGUGAGGUAACGGCUCACCAAGGCAACGAUACAUAGCCGACCUGAGAGGGUGAUCGGCCACACUGGGACUGAGACACGGCCCAGACUCCUACGGGAGGCAGCAGUAGGGAAUCUUCGGCAAUGGACGGAAGUCUGACCGAGCAACGCCGCGUGAGUGAAGAAGGUUUUCGGAUCGUAAAGCUCUGUUGUAAGAGAAGAACGAGUGUGAGAGUGGAAAGUUCACACUGUGACGGUAUCUUACCAGAAAGGGACGGCUAACUACGUG
rnacentral:rRNA from 1 species